GAUGAAGAACGCAGCGAAAUGCGAUAAGUAAUGUGAAUUGCAGAAUUCAGUGAAUCAUCGAAUCUUUGAACGCACAUUGCGCCCGCCAGUAUUCUGGCGGGCAUGCCUGUCUGCGCGUCAUUUCAACCCUCAUGCCCCUAGGGCGUGGUGUUGGGGAUCGGCCAAAGCCCGCGAGGGACGGCCGGCCCCUAAAUCUAGUGGCGGACCCGUCGUGGCCUCCUCUGCGAAGUAGUGAUAUUCCGCAUCGGAGAGCGAUGAGCCCCUGCCGUUAAACCCCCAACUUUCCAAGGUUGACCUCAGAUCAGGUAGGAAUACCCGCUGAACUUAAGCAUAUCAAUAAGCGGAGGA
rnacentral:misc_RNA from 1 species